rnacentral:rRNA from 1 species
AAAGGCGUAAUGAAAGUGAAGGCUCGCCUAGCGCGAGCCGAGGGAGGAUGGGUGUCCCCGCGGGGAUGCCUCGCACUCCCAGGGCGUCUCGUUCUCAUUGCGAGAAGAGGCGCACCAAGAGCGUACACGCUGGGACCCGAAAGAUGGUGAACUAUGCCUGGUCAGGACGAAGUCAGGGGAAACCCUGAUGGAGGUCCGUAGCGAUUCUGACGUGCAAAUCGAUCGUCGGAACUGGGUAUAGGGGCGAAAGACUAAUCGAACCAUCUAGUAGCUGGUUCCCUCCGAAGUUUCCCUCAGGAUAGCUGGCGCUCGCUUCUCGCGAGUCUCAUUCGGUAAAGCGAAUGAUUAGAGGCAUUGGGGUCGAAACGGCCUCAACCUAUUCUCAAACUUUAAAUGGGUGAGAUCUCCGGCUUGCUUGAACUGUGAAGCCGCGAGAUAUCGGAUCAGAGUGCCAAGUGGGCCACUUUUGGUAAGCAGAACUGGCGCUGUGGGAUGAACCAAACGCUGAGUUAAAGCGCCUAAAUCGACGCUUAUGGGA